rnacentral:snRNA from 1 species
GCGCUCGCUUCAGCAGCACAUAUACCAAAAUUGAAACAAUACAGAGGAGAUUAGCAAGGCCCUUGUGCAAGAAUGACAUGCAAAUUUGUGAAGCAUUUCAUAUUUUU